UUAUUUUUUUCUUCUCAAUGAGGGAAGUACCUCAUAGCAACUCUUCCACUUACUAGUAUUAGUGGCCUUCAAUAAGGUUAUUUUUUCCUUUUCAGUGCCUCCCUACAACUCCUCCAUUUACUAUUAAUGGCCUUAAAUAAAGUUAUUUUUUUCUUUUCAGAGAGGGGAGUACCUCCCAGCAUCUCUUCCAUUUACUAGUAUUAGUGGCCUUCAAUAAAGUUAUUUUUUCCUUUUCAGUGAGGGAAGUGCCUCCCUACAACUCUUCCAUUUACUAUUAGUGGCCUUAAAUAAAGUUAAUUUUUCUUUUCCAUGAGGGAAGUACUUCCCAACAACUCUUCUAUUUACUAGUAUUAGUGGCUUUAAAUAAAGUUAUUUUUUUCUUUUCAGUGAGGGAAGUACCUCCCAACUGUUCUGCCAUUUACUAGUAUUAGUGGCCUUCAAUAAAGUUAUUUUUUCCUUUUCAGUGAGAGAAGUGCCUCCCUAAAACUCUUCCAUUUACUAGUAUUAGUGGCCUUAAAUAAAGUAAUUUUUUUCUUUUCAUUGAGGGAAGUACCUCCCAACUGUUCUGCCAUUUACUAGUAUUAGUGGCUUUCGAUAAAGUUAUUUUUUUCUUUUCAUUGAGGAAAGUUCCUCCCAACUGUUCUGCCAUUUACUAGUAUAAGUGGCCUUCGAUAAAGUUAUUUUUUUUUCUUUUCACUGAGGGAAGUGCCUCCCAACUGUUCUGCCAUUUACUAGUAUUAGUGGCCUUCGAUAAAAUUAUUUUUUUCUUUUCACUGAGGAAAGUACCUCCCAGCAACUCUUUCAUUUACUGGUUUUAGUGGCCUUCGAUAAAGUUAUCUUUUUUCUUUUCACUGAGGGAAGUACCUCCCAACUGUUCUGCCAUUUACUAGUAUUAGUGGCCUUCGAUAAAGUUAUUUUUUUCUUUUCACUGAGUGAGAGAAGUACCUCAUAGCAACUCUUCCAUUUACUGGUGGAGGUUGCUUGGGCCCAACCUGCCACAGGAGAAGUUGGAGAAUUGGCCAUCCACUUUUGGUGGGCUCGGUUUCAGAAAAGGAACCUCUUGCAUAAGGUCGUCACUGCGUCCCACUUGGCUGACCAUACAAGAGUCAGAUCAGCUGAAAACCGGCCUGCCUAGUAUAAAACCGGAC